UACGGGGGGGGCAAGCGUUGUUCGGAAUUACUGGGCGUAAAGGGCUCGUAGGCGGCCAACUAAGUCAGACGUGAAAUCCCUCGGCUUAACCGGGGGAACUGCGUCUGAUACUGGAUGGCUUGAAUCCGGGAGAGGGAUGCGGAAUUCCAGGUGUAGGCAGGUGAAAUGCGUAGAUAUCUGGAGGAACACCGGUGGCGAAGGCGGUUCUCUGGGCAUUACCCUGACGCUGAGGAGCGAAAGUGUG
rnacentral:rRNA from 1 species